UGUAAAUAUUUGGUGAUUGGAAAUUUUGGUUUGCUUGACUGGCCAUAGAUACUAUAGAUAAAGUAGAGACAAAUGUAUGUGUAUUCCAUGUGUCUUAUUUUUCUGGUCCAUGUCCCUAGAGUAGGUCUACACUAACCAAAGUCACCAGUAGGUGAGACUGAGCGCACACAUUUUGGCCUUUUUUUCUGUCUGGUGACGACUAACUAAAUUUGGUUUGCUCCACUAGGGAGUGGGAAUGUGGGAAAGUGCCCGCCUCGUGACUCAUUGGGAGCAGAGGAUGUUAGGAUAAAAAAAUUAAAGCUAACAAUACAGGUACAUGUAAUGCUGUUAUAAUUAAUUAGUUAUAGUUUGAGUUGUCUGUUUGUGAAUGUAUAUUGUGUAGCGUUUGUUAAGUGUUUGUAUCAUGUUUAGUUAUUUUGUUCUUGGUACUGUACUUACUAACUUUAGUCUCCCCUGGUUGUAUUGAUAAUUUGAUUAGUCAUGAUGGCGUCUACUAAUUUCAUGAUAUUCUAGAUAUUUCUAUGCUAUUGCUAGGAAUGGGCACGGGACAAAAUUAUAGAUUUAAAGAAAUCCCCCCCCCCCUCCCUCAUUACGUAAGAUGUCAGUUUGAGCUUGGGGGGCAGUUUAAUAAUCUGUUUUUAGGGUGUACAGGGCGUGAUAGACUGAUGUGGGGUGUCAGGUGUCCGCGGAGAACUGGAACUGGCCCACGUCACCGGUUCGGAAAAUAGCAAGUUCUUUUUUAACAGCGUCAGUAGGUAUCGGGCACGGGACCAAAUUUUAGGGAAAAUUUUUGUUAUCGCUUUUUUGUUUUGUCUUCCACAGCUCACAGACUUCCCCUCCCCACUCCCCCCCUUGCGGAAGUCGGAAGUACCGGGCCUCACCGUGGCGCAAGGGUGUAACGCUCUGUU